rnacentral:rRNA from 1 species
GGGAUUGCCCCAGUAACGGCGAGUGAAGCGGCAACAGCUCAAAUUUGAAAUCUGGCUCUCGGGCCCGAGUUGUAAUUUGUAGAGGAUGCUUUUGGUGAGGUGCCUUCCGAGUUCCCUGGAACGGGACGCCAUAGAGGGUGAGAGCCCCGUCUGGUUGGACACCGAUCCUCUGUAAAGCUCCUUCGACGAGUCGAGUAGUUUGGGAAUGCUGCUCUAAAUGGGAGGUAUAUGUCUUCUAAAGCUAAAUACCGGCCAGAGACCGAUAGCGCACAAGUAGAGUGAUCGAAAGAGAAAAGAACUUGAAAAGAGAGUUAAACAGUACGUGAAAUUGUGAAAGGGAAGCGCUUGUGACCAGACUUGGGCUUGGUUGAUCAUCCGGGGUUCUCCCCGGUGCACUCUUCCGGCUCAGGCCAGCAUCAGUUCGCCCUGGGGGAUAAAGGCUUCGGGAAUGUGGCUCUCUCCGGGGAGUGUUAUAGCCCGCUGCGUAAUACCCUGUGGCGGACUGAGGUUCGCGCAUUCGCAAGGAUGCUGGCGUAAUGGUCAUCAGUGACCCGUCUUGAAACACGGACCAAGGAGUCGUCUUCGUAUGCGAGUGUUCGGGUGUCAAACCCCUACGCGAAAUGAAAGUGAACGCAGGUGAGAGCUUCGGCGCAUCAUCGACCGAUCCUGAUGUUAUCGGAUGGAUUUGAGUAAGAGCAUACGGGGCCGGACCCGAAAGAAGGUGAACUAUGCCUGUGUAGGGUGAAGCCAGAGGAAACUCUGGUGGAGGCUCGCAGCGGUUCUGACGUGCAAAUCGAUCGUCAAACAUGGGCAUGGGGGCGAAAGACUAAUCGAACCUUCUAGUAGCUGGUUUCCGCCGAAGUUUCCCUCAGGAUAGCAGUGUUGAACUCAGUUUUAUGAGGUAAAGCGAAUGAUUAGGGACUCGGGGGCGCUAUUUAGCCUUCAUCCAUUCUCAAACUUUAAAUAUGUAAGAAGCCCUUGUUGCUUAAUUGAACGUGGGCAUUCGAAUGAAUCAACACUAGUGGGCCAUUUUUGGUAAGCAGAACUGGCGAUGCGGGAUGAACCGAACGCGAGGUUAAGGUGCCAGAGUAGACGCUCAUCAGACACCACAAAAGGUGUUAGUACAUCUUGACAGCAGGACGGUGGCCAUGGAAGUCGGAAUCCGCUAAGGACUGUGUAACAACUCACCUGCCGAAUGUACUAGCCCUGAAAAUGGAUGGCGCUCAAGCGUCUCACCCAUACCUCGCCCUCAGGGUAGAAACGAUGCCCUGAGGAGUAGGCGGACGUGGAGGUCAGUGACGAAGC